UCAGAUUGAACGCUGGCGGCAGGCUUAACACAUGCAAGUCGAGCGGUAGCACAGGGGAGCUUGCUCCCUGGGUGACGAGCGGCGGACGGGUGAGUAAUGUCUGGGAAACUGCCUGAUGGAGGGGGAUAACUACUGGAAACGGUAGCUAAUACCGCAUAACGUCGCAAGACCAAAGAGGGGGACCUUCGGGCCUCUUGCCAUCAGAUGUGCCCAGAUGGGAUUAGCUAGUAGGUGGGGUAAUGGCUCACCUAGGCGACGAUCCCUAGCUGGUCUGAGAGGAUGACCAGCCACACUGGAACUGAGACACGGUCCAGACUCCUACGGGAGGCAGCAGUGGGGAAUAUUGCACAAUGGGCGCAAGCCUGAUGCAGCCAUGCCGCGUGUGUGAAGAAGGCCUUCGGGUUGUAAAGCACUUUCAGCGAGGAGGAAGGUGGUGAGCUUAAUACGCUCAUCAAUUGACGUUACUCGCAGAAGAAGCACCGGCUAACUCCGUGCCAGCAGCCGCGGUAAUACGGAGGGUGCAAGCGUUAAUCGGAAUUACUGGGCGUAAAGCGCACGCAGGCGGUUUGUUAAGUCAGAUGUGAAAUCCCCGGGCUCAACCUGGGAACUGCAUUUGAAACUGGCAAGCUAGAGUCUCGUAGAGGGGGGUAGGAUUCCAGGUGUAGCGGUGAAAUGCGUAGAGAUCUGGAGGAAUACCGGUGGCGAAGGCGGCCCCCUGGACGAAGACUGACGCUCAGGUGCGAAAGCGUGGGGAGCAAACAG
rnacentral:rRNA from 1 species